GACGAACGCUGGCGGCGUGCUUAACACAUGCAAGUCGAACGGAAAGGCCCUGCUUUUGUGGGGUGCUCGAGUGGCGAACGGGUGAGUAACACGUGAGUAACCUGCCCUUGACUUUGGGAUAACUUCAGGCAACUGGGGCUAAUACCGGAUAGGAGCUCCUGCUGCAUGGUGGGGGUUGGAAAGUUUCGGCGGUUGGGGAUGGACUCGCGGCUUAUCAGCUUGUUGGUGGGGUAGUGGCUUACCAAGGCUUUGGCGGGUAGCCGGCCUGAGAGGGUGACCGGCGACAUUGGGACUGAGAUACGGCCCAGACUCCUACGGGAGGCAGCAGUGGGGAAUAUUGCACAAUGGGCGGAAGCCUGAUGCAGCAACGCCGCGUGCGGGAUGACGGCCUUCGGGUUGUAAACCGCUUUCGCCUGUGACGAAGCGUGAGUGACGGUAAUGGGUAAAGAAGCACCGGCUAACUACGUG
rnacentral:rRNA from 1 species